UGUCUGUUCAGCUAACUGCAUGAUAAACUGGGACCACAGACUAGAUGUCAGACCAGCUUUCUGCGCUACAGAGUGUUCAAAUACCUCCCAGAACAACAGGGUGAGAGAGGAGAGGACUCACUAUGGAUUUAAGAUCAGCAGCAAGAGGAUUUCUAGCUUUCCUUCUGUCAGUACCAGUGCUUCAGGGUAAUGAUGACUGGACAGUUACUUACUCAUCUAGUAAUGUCUGUGCUUUAAGAGGAGCAAUGGUUGAAAUCAACUGCACCUAUGAAUACCCUGACAACGUACAGUACCGCCCUACCACAGUCACAACACUGUGGUUUACUAAAGAAGACAACCAUCAGCCUGUUGAUCUGGUACACG